UCAGGAUGAACGCUGGCGGCGUGCCUAAUACAUGCAAGUCGUACGAGGGAAGUCCAGCUUGCUGGACGGAACGAGUGGCGAACGGGUGAGUAAUACGUAAGCAACCUGCCUGCAAGGACUGGGAUAACACCUGGAAACGGGCGCUAAUACCGGAUAGGUAACAAAGGGGCAUCCCUAUGUUAUUAAAGGUUAGAAACACAAGCAGAUGGGCUUACGGUGCAUUAGCUAGUUGGUGAGGUAACGGCCCACCAAGGCGAUGAUGCAUAGCCGGCCUGAGAGGGUGAACGGCCACAUUGGGACUGAGACACGGCCCAGACUCCUACGGGAGGCAGCAGUAGGGAAUUUUCGGCAAUGGACGAAAGUCUGACCGAGCAACGCCCGCGUGAGUGAAGAAGGUUUUCGGAUUGUAAAGCUCUGUUGUAAGGGAAGAACAGCACGGAAAGAAUCCGUGAAUGACGGUACCUUACCAGAAAGCCACGGCUAACUACGUGCCAGCCGCGGC
rnacentral:rRNA from 1 species